CUACAUAUGCUCCCAGGACAGC
rnacentral:miRNA from 14 species